rnacentral:sRNA from 20 species
GUCAGAGAAUAUGUUGUGCGUGUGUGUGGCGUGUGUUCGUCCACAAGGUGUUUGGCGGGAUUUUACCCUGUUCGUUCAGGAAGCGCCCAGUCGCGAUUGUGUCGAACCGUAACCCACUAUAGACGCUCCCGUCCGUUUU